GCUCCUACGGGAGGCAGCAGUGAGGAAUAUUGGUCAAUGGGAGAGAUCCUGAACCAGCCAAGCCGCGUGAGGGAAGACGGCCCUAUGGGUUGUAAACCUCUUUUGUCGGAGAACAAAACCCGGGACGUGUCCCGGACUGCGUGUAUCCGAAGAAAAAGCAUCGGCUAACUCCGUGCCAGCAGCCGCGGUAAUACGGAGGAUGCGAGCGUUAUCCGGAUUUAUUGGGUUUAAAGGGUGCGUAGGUUGUUUUAUAAGUUAGCGGUGAAAUACAGAUGCUCAACAUCGGGGCUGCCGCUAAUAUUGUA
rnacentral:rRNA from 1 species